UAGAGUUUGAUCCUGGCUCAGAUUGAACGCUGGCGGCAGGCCUAACACAUGCAAGUCGAACGGUAGCACAGAGAGCUUGCUCUCGGGUGACGAGUGGCGGACGGGUGAGUAAUGUCUGGGAAACUGCCUGAUGGAGGGGGAUAACUACUGGAAACGGUAGCUAAUACCGCAUAACGUCGCAAGACCAAAGAGGGGGACCUUCGGGCCUCUUGCCAUCAGAUGUGCCCAGAUGGGAUUAGCUAGUAGGUGGGGUAACGGCUCACCUAGGCGACGAUCCCUAGCUGGUCUGAGAGGAUGACCAGCCACACUGGAACUGAGACACGGUCCAGACUCCUACGGGAGGCAGCAGUGGGGAAUAUUGCACAAUGGGCGCAAGCCUGAUGCAGCCAUGCCGCGUGUAUGAAGAAGGCCUUCGGGUUGUAAAGUACUUUCAGCGGGGAGGAAGGUGUUGUGGUUAAUAACCGCAGCAAUUGACGUUACCCGCAGAAGAAGCACCGGCUAACUCCGUGCCAGCAGCCGCGGUAAUACGGAGGGUGCAAGCGUUAAUCGGAAUUACUGGGCGUAAGGCGCACGCAGGCGGUCUGUCAAGUCGGAUGUGAAAUCCCCGGGCUCAACCUGGGAACUGCAUUCGAAACUGGCAGGCUAGAGUCUUGUAGAGGGGGGUAGAAUUCCAGGUGUAGCGGUGAAAUGCGUAGAGAUCUGGAGGAAUACCGGUGGCGAAGGCGGCCCCCCUGGACAAAGACUGACGCUCAGGUGCGAAAGCGUGGGGAGCAAACAGGAUUAGAUACCCUGGUAGUCCACGCCGUAAACGAUGUCGACUUGGAGGUUGUGCCCUUGAGGCGUGGCUUCCGGAGCUAACGCGUUAAGUCGACCGCCUGGGGAGUACGGCCGCAAGGUUAAAACUCAAAUGAAUUGACGGGGGCCCGCACAAGCGGUGGAGCAUGUGGUUUAAUUCGAUGCAACGCGAAGAACCUUACCUACUCUUGACAUCCAGAGAACUUUCCAGAGAUGGAUUGGUGCCUUCGGGAACUCUGAGACAGGUGCUGCAUGGCUGUCGUCAGCUCGUGUUGUGAAAUGUUGGGUUAAGUCCCGCAACGAGCGCAACCCUUAUCCUUUGUUGCCAGCGGUCCGGCCGGGAACUCAAAGGAGACUGCCAGUGAUAAACUGGAGGAAGGUGGGGAUGACGUCAAGUCAUCAUGGCCCUUACGAGUAGGGCUACACACGUGCUACAAUGGUGCAUACAAAGAGAAGCGACCUCGCGAGAGCAAGCGGACCUCAUAAAGUGCGUCGUAGUCCGGAUUGGAGUCUGCAACUCGACUCCAUGAAGUCGGAAUCGCUAGUAAUCGUAGAUCAGAAUGCUACGGUGAAUACGUUCCCGGGCCUUGUACACACCGCCCGUCACACCAUGGGAGUGGGUUGCAAAAGAAGUAGGUAGCUUAACCUUCGGGAGGGCGCUUACCACUUUGUGAUUCAUGACUGGGGUGAAGUCGUAACAAGGUAGCCGUAA
rnacentral:rRNA from 1 species